GAAAAAGCCAGGUCGCUGAGACACGAGGGGCCUUCCCUCUGAUGCAAGUGAGCCCCCUCCCAGGGGCCACUUCCCAGCAGCCAGAGCAGCAAGUGCCCCGGGAGGGGGCCUGGGAAUGGUUACUGAGAAAUCCCUGGGCUGCCCACACACUUCCCCUUCUGUCAAAUGCCAGGAGGAUUCCUCCCGCAGGCGAGGGGAAAGGUGAGCAAGGUUCACCCCAUACUGAGUCACUGGAAAGAUUAGGGGACCCAGUGGAGAAGGGUGUCAUUCCAUCUCCUCUAGAACUCCUGAGGGGGACUGUAAUUCCAGGCUUGGUCUGAGAGACGAUCUCCACAGACUUAGGGAGCACUGGAGAAUGGAGCCUUGAAGCCUCCCCCUCCCCUGCUUCCUGCAAGGGCACUGCGGCCUGGUUCCUGGGACAGUGGGAAUCUCCUUCCUGUCCUUGUCCCAUUAUGCUCUGCCUCACCGGCCAAAGACUUGUGGAACCCACACUCUCACCCACCUCUUAGGCCUGGGAUUCCACCUGAGGGACCCCCACAGCGCCCUUCCCAGUCCAGGCCCCUGGGGUGUUUUCCCAGCGGCCUGUCGGCUUCCAUCCUUAGCUGUGGGCCUUGGCGCAGUGGGAGGAAUCUCCCUGCUUGCAUGCCUCACUGCAGAGAGCAGGCCAAGGAGCCCACUGCAAAGUGCACCCCUCCUGAGACCACCGUCCACUGGAACUCUGGGGUGCAGCUGCCCCCAGCCCCCCAGCCCUGUUCCCCAAGUCAGCUGGAGGAAGCAGAGAAGCUGGCCCAGGGCUGGCCUGGUAGUCCGCUCCCCCACCUCCACCCCCCUCCAUCGUUGUGGAGAUGCCUUUGGCAGCAGAAUUGGAACCAGCCGGGAUGUGAUGAUUCGCCCACGAGGAGGUCUGCCCAUACUAGUCAUGAGAACAGUUUGCCCAGAGGGGUUUUUGAGGGCCCAGGCCAGACAUGAGUGUGAGGGAAGUCCCAGCUGGUCCUUGAACCCAUCUUUUAAGGCUGGUAUCACCAGGCAAGGCCGUAAUGGGGCAGGGGUGGGGACCAGGUUGGGACAGGGUUGGACUUGGUCUUGGGGCUAGUUACGGAGGGAGGUGGGUGGAGUCACCAAUCCCUCCUCUCCAGCCCCAGGUGGUCCUUAUCACCGCUUACCUGGACCGUGGCAACAGUCUCCUCAGGACCUCCCUGCCCAAGCCUUGCGCCUCUAAUCCUUCCUCCCGAAGGACCCUUAGACCUGCCCUGUGAGCUGAUCAAGGGCCAAGUCUCUCUGUGGCUCAUAAAUCUUCAAUGGCUCCCAAUAGCUAGUGGGAAGCAGAAGACUCUCAAGGCCUUGCAGUUGACUUCAGCCAUACUUCCAACCACCCUUCUCACCAUGCCCUGAGAGAACGUUGUGCCUCAACCAAAGAGAGAACAACGCCUCUUCAGGCUCCAGGCAUCACCUUCCCCUGGACAGUCUUCCUUUCCCUCUCUUCAAGGGUCUUUGCAGAUGCAAGCAAGUUAAGACAAAGCCACACUACAUUAGGGUGGACCCUGAUCCAAUGAUUGGUGUCUUUAUCAAAAGAGGGAACGGACACACAAAGGGCAAGGGCCACGUGGAAACAGAAGUGGAGGUGAGAGUGAUGCAUCCACAAGCCAAGGAGCCAAGGAUUUUGCCAGUCACUGCGGGGAGCCGGGCAAGAAGCACGGGACCCUUUCUCCCUCAGAGCCUCCAGAAGGAACCGACCUUCCAACACCAUGAUUUCUGGCCUCCACACCUGGGAGAGAAUAACUUCCUGUGUGGUAAGCCACCCAAAUUUGUGGUGAUUUGUUAUGGCAGCCCCAGGAAACUAAUACAGCCCCCGAACAGAGAGACCGCCUGCGAUGGAAGCCAACACUGGGGAAAUGAGGGCCGUGGACUUGGACUCUUGGCGCUCUGACAACACUUGGAUCCAGCGGUGGCUGAAGCAAGGGGUCUACAUGAGCUGAUAUGUUCUCAAUUUUACUUACGCCAUUUUGGCUGAGUUUCUGUCUGGUUCAACAGAGAGAGGCCUGACUAAUACAGAGAUAAUG